CUGACUUCGAGGAGUUCCUCUGAACAAUUCCUCAACAAUUUGAUAAGUUCCUUAAAAAGUUCCUAACUUCCUGUUUCAUUGACCAAUCAGAUUGCUCAAAAAUAAAAUAUAAAAUUUGAUUGGUCAAUGAAACAGGAAGUUAGGAACUUUUUAAGGAACUUAUCAAAUUGUUGAGGAAUUGUUCAGAGGAACUCCUCGAAGUUAG